UGCAACAUCCACAGACUUUGAUGAUCUCUGGGAACAGAUCGAUGAACAAGUUCCUCCCUCUUCAAGGGAACAACUUUUUAAAGAAGGGUUUAUUUAUUUUUACGAUGAUUAUUGAUUUAUAAGUAUAAAUUUAAAAGUUUUAUAAUUACGCCAUCAUUGUAUUUCCGUAAUUAAGAAAAGUCCGUGACUCAGAUGUUGAUAUAUGCAUUUUAAAUCUGUAUAUAUUAAGGUAGGUUAUUUAAUUUGGUCAAUUUCUUUAAAAGGCCUCCUUGUCUUGAAAGUCCAACUCCCAAAUCUGAAGCUAAGACGGAGGAGACUUCCGUAUUAAGAACUCUGCUUAACAAUACACAACAAGCUAGCGAAAUAAAAAUUAAAAAGGACAGAGAAGUGAAAACAGAAAUACCUUUCAAAAGAUACACAUCCAGUAGCCCCAGUAGUACCACUACCACUAGUUGUACAUACUCCCCGCCUCUGGAUGAGAACUGGCCACCCGCCAGUUCUGCACCAUUUACCAACGUUGAGGAUUCUAUCCUGACGACUUUCAGGAGAAAGAGUCCAAAGAAAUACGAAGCUCUUAACCGGAGGUUUACAGAGCCACGGGUCACUGCCACGCGGGAAUUUAAAGUUUUAAAGGCUCUACAGAAGAGAAUAAUGCAGGACAUGGAACAAAGUGAGAUAAUAGUUAAUUAUCUCACCGAUAAAUAUGGCGCAGAUGAACCAGAGAAGAAGCGGGCUAAGUUUAUUUCCCUUCGAUAAGCCCAAUCGCUUGCGACAUGAAAAAAACAAUUAUCAAUUUUUAUACAGUGAAACAUAUAAAAUUACUAUUCGAAGUUUAAAUGGAUCUCCAGAAACGAAUGUUUCUGGAUAUAGAACAGCUUGAAAUAAUAAUCAGGAGAUCUCACCGGCAAGUAUGGAUAUGAGAUCGAAAAGUGUUUAUAUAAGUAUGAAACUUGUUGUAAAUAUUGCUUGUGAAAUGAACAAAAAGGUAUUGACCUUUAUUUUAUAUGUACUUAAAGU